rfam:Camelus ferus unplaced genomic scaffold scaffold1984, whole genome shotgun sequence.
GAGGGUAUAGCUCAAGUGGUAGAGUGCAUGCUUAGCAUGCACGAGGUCCUGGGUUCAAUCCCCAGUAUCACCU